rnacentral:rRNA from 1 species
GAGCCUACGGGACGCAGCAGUCGAGAAUCAUUCACAAUGGGGGAAACCCUGAUGGAGCAACGCCGCGUGGGUGAAGAAGGUCUUCGGAUCGUAAAACCCUGUUGUUAGAGAAGAAAGUGCGUGAGAGUAACUGUUCACGUUUCGACGGUAUCUAACCAGAAAGCCACGGCUAACUACGUGCCAGCAGCCGCGGUAAUACGUAGGUGGCAAGCGUUAUCCGGAUUUAUUGGGCGUAAAGGGAACGCAGGCGGUCUUUUAAGUCUGUUGUGAAAGCCUUCGGCUUAACAGGAGUAGUGCAUUGGAAA